rnacentral:tRNA from 1 species
GUCUCCAUAGUUCAAUUGGAUAGAACCGCGGUUUCCUAAACCGUUAAUCCGUGUUCGAGUCACGGUGGGGACA